CGCACAACAGUAAUUAAUAAGGAAACAAUUAAAACAGAAACAGCUUUCCAGUUAAGGAAAGACCCUGUAAAAAAUAUGGCUCGAAUUAGCGAGAGGGGAAAGAAAGCGGUAGGAGUGAUGGGUCAAGCGAAGAUGAGUCACAAUGAGGAAGAAAGAGGUUGGGUUUGAAAUGCAAGGAGUGAGAAUGGGCGUUUCCAGGCAACAAAAAGCUUGAUUAGUCCCUGCGCUAAUGGCGGGUGAGAGAGGGAAGCAUUACCCGGAUAUUAUUGCAUUCGAAGGAGUUUGAAUUGGCACGUGCAAUUGAUGGGCUUUAUGGGAAUUGAUGGCACGUAAAAGAUAGAGAAGAGUUAAACAGUAACCCAAAAAGAUAGUGGUACAAUAGUGCCCAUUCGGGCUACGUAUAAGGUCCUCCACAUGUUUGUGCAAUUGUGCUAGAGAGAGGAAACCAA
rnacentral:misc_RNA from 1 species